rnacentral:lncRNA from 1 species
CGUUACGUAAUCUCUGAAUGUUUAUUUUUUAUGAUUUUUUUAAGUAUGCGAUCUCAGAAUGUGUACAAAUAAGAUUGAUGGUUGGAUCGUUGAAAAAAGUUUUGUAGAAUGCAUAUUGCGUCAAAACAGUAGAUUAAACAAACACUUAGAGUUAAUAUUAUACUUCUAUUAAGUAUAAAAUAAGUUUUUGUGGUAUCCACUAGUAUAAAUACUUUAAAUUAAAGAUCAAAGUUAUUCAUUACAUUCUUAUAGGGUCGAGGAGUGUAUUUGUAAAAAAUCAUCAAAAUCAAAGCUAAAAUAACCGUUAAAUUAUGAUUUUUCAUUUAUAACCGUCGAAAACUUUUGUUCCGUUACGUAAUCUCUGAAUGUUUGUUUUUUUAUGAUUUUUUACGUAUGCGAUCUCGGAAUGUGUACAAAUAAGUUUGAUGGUUGGAUCAUUGAACAUUUUUUUUGUAGAAUGCAUAUUGCGUCAAAACAGUACAUUAAACAAACACUUAGAGUUAAUAUUAUACUUUUAUUAAGUAUAAAAUAAGUUUUUGUGGUAUCCACUAGUGUAAUACUUUAAAUUAAAGAUCAAAUUUAUUCAUUACAUUCUUAUAGGGUCGAAGAGUGUAUCUGUAAAAAAUCAUCAAAAUCGGAGAUAAAAUAACCGUUAAAUUGUGAUUUUUCGUUUAUAACCGUCGAAAACUUUUGUUCCAUUACGUAAUCUCUGAAUGUUUGUUUUUUACAAUUUUUUUACGUAUGCGAUCUCGGAAUGUGUACAAAUAAGUUUGACGGUUGGAUCGUUGAAAAAAGUUUCGUAGAAUGCAUAUUGCGUCAAAACGGUAGAUUAAACAAACACUUAGAGUUAAUAUUAUACUUCUAUUAAGUAUAAAUAAGUUUUUGUGGUAUCCACUAGUGUAAAUACUUUAAAUUAAAGAUCAAAUUUAUUCAUUACAUUCUUAUAGGGUCGAGGAGUGUAUUUGUAAAAAAUCAUCAAAAUCGGAGCUAAAAUAACCGUUAAAUUGUGAUUUUUCAUUUAUAACCGUCGAAAACUUUUUGUUCUGUUACGUAAUAUCUGAAUGUUUGUUUUUUAUGAUUUUUUACGUAUGCGAUCUCGGAAUGUGUACAAAUAAGUUUGACGGUUGGAUCGUUGAAAAAAGUUUUGUAGAAUGCAUAUUGCGUCAAAACGGUAGAUUAAACAAACACUUAGAGUUAAUAUUAUACUUCUAUUAAGUACACUAGUGUAAAUACUUUAAAUUAAAGAUCAAAUUUAUUCAUUACAUUCUUAUAGGGUCGAGGGGUGUAUCUGUAAAAAAUCAUCAAAAUCGGAGAUAAAAUAACCGUUAAAUUGUGAUUUUUCGUUUAUAAUCGUCGAAAACUUUUGUUCCAUUACGUAAUGUCUAAAUGUUUGGUUUUUACAAUUUUUUACGUAUACAAUCUCAGAAUGUAUACAAAUAAGUUUGACGGUUGGAUCGUUGAAAAACGUUUCGUAGAAUGCAUAUUGCGUCAAAACGGUAGAUUAAACAAACACUUAGAGUUAAUAUUAUACUUCUAUUAAGUAUAAAAUACGUUUUUGUGGUAUCCACUAGUGUAAAUACUUUAAAUUAAAGAUCAAAUUUAUUCAUUACAUUCUUAUAGG